GCAGACUGGUGCUUAACAU
rnacentral:miRNA from 1 species